rnacentral:lncRNA from 1 species
CCGCAACCCAUGUUAUUCAACAAAAGUACGUAAUCAGUGAUAAAUAUAGGCAAAUUGGCGAGACACAUUUGAACAUCCUCUUUUCAAAGAAUCUGCCUAGCAUAUUACUCAAAUAGUUUACUACUAAGACACUAAUCCUAGGCAUUUUUCAAGUGCAAAAUCCCACAAAAGUUUGCAUUCAAUCGAUGAAGAUGGCUAACAACUACAUGGACAGGAACAAAACACAGUUACAAUCGGAACUCAAAUCGACAAAAUUCUUAAACAAGACCAGAAAUCUCGUACGGACUACGGUGGAGUCGCCCCCAACUCAACCUCUAAAUUGACCUCUAUUGACCAGCUUUAAACCAAGUCUUGAAUGGAAACUCAAUUUCUCUAACGGGGCACAACCUAGUCGGUGUUGCAUAUUGGACAUCAUUCCAAUUCUUCAUCAGAGAGCUUCUUAUAGAUGCAAUUCCUUCACCACUUGGUUCGACAUUUCUCUUCUUUAAAUUACUUAUCAGUUAUUCCCGUCUCUUUAUUUUCAUUCAAUCUAAUAACUGAAUGACAAACCUUGAAUUAUCAAACAUACAUAAGUUGGUCUAAUUUGCUGAUACAAUAAUGAUAAAUUUUGAGAAUUGAGUAAAUGGGUAGAUUUGAUUUUGGAAAAAGGAAUGAGCGCGUGCGAUGGAUAUGGGUAGUGGGGUAUGGUAGAGCACUGUUAGGAACUGAUAGGGGAUUGAGAUGGCAGAUUCAGGGAGGGGUCUCGUUCUUUCGCUGCUCUCUUUUUUUAGUGAAGGAAAAUUUUCUUAGCUAGGUCUAUCAUCAAAAAUGUCUCCAAGGUUUUUAGGCGUUCCUGAUUUGGCUUAAGAAGCAGGAGAAUGUUUGUCGUUUGGUUGAAGAAGGAGCAGAACGGUGAGGGAGGUCUUGUGUAUUGCAGCGUGUUUAGUCUCAUUUUUUUGCGUUUUCUCGGCUGAUUUCCUUGUGUGUAUAGGUCUCUAGGUCUAGCUUAGUUUUGUAGGGUUUUUUUUUUUUAGGUUAAGGGGUAUGGGUUUAGAAAUUAUUGGCUGGAGGACUUAUGGAUUAGGUCCAAAAAUUAGGCUUAAAAUGAAUUGUUUGAGCCCAAAUUAUAUUCUAUCUCCGUGAAUAUGAGUAAAAAUACUACAUUAUUUACUAAUUAAUCCUACUUAAAUAAAAUAACUAUUAAGAUAAGAUUAAUCGUUAGCAAAUCCUUUUUUUGUAUUUUCAAAUAUCAUAUUAAAAUAAAAUAAGGUACUAUUUUUGUAAUUUUUAGUUUUACGAAAGGUAUAUAAACUAAAAGCAACUAAAAAGAAGAAAUAUUUUUGUAAUUUUCGUUUUUUGAUAAAAUAAAGUAAAAGGGUCAAAACUAGUUAAAUAACUAUAUUAGAUCUAAACUAAGUAUUUAUAUGCUAAAAUAUGUAAAACCUUGGGGAUGGUCAAAAAUCACAUGUCUACAGCUGCCACUCUUUGACUGAAAAUACGAUGUAUUUUUAGAUAAAGAACGACUAGACAUGUUUUUUGACCUGACCUUUAUUUAGAGAUACUAAAAACUAAGAGGAAGGAGAAUGAGACCGAGCCCUUGAGCUGCUUACAUAUCCUUGGCUAUAAAAGAAUAAGGCCACGUGUAGUUUAGAAGUGAAUGGGGUGAUGGAGUAUAUUGAGGUAGAGAGCCGAUCGAGGUGCCGUUUCGUCGAGGUUCCGGUUUGCGAUCCUAAUAUUACAUCAAAAUAAAAAAGCUGGAAAAAAAAUUAACUAAGCAUGUCAACUAUAAGUUACAAGAUUCAUAUAUAUAAGUCUUCUAAAGCUUGAUCUUGAGUCUUGAAUGGUUCUUCAUCCAGACUUUGGAUUUGAACCCUGAUGCUUGCUAGUUGCAGGUGCUAGUUCAUUCUUCUUCAGUUUUUCAUAUCAAAACCGGACACACCAUGCUUGUGACUUCAGUCAUGUCUUGAGCAAUCCACCUCUUGUCUCAUCUUCUGCAUUUUGGAUUCACUUUUUUUUCCUUUCUUUUUUUUUUUUUAUUCUGGAUUGAGAUUAUUUAUGUUGAUCAUCUCGGACUAUCGACUCACAUUCUUGUCGCGAGCUUCUGCUACUUAUAAUCUUAGACUGAAUUCUUGAAUAACUUCCUUUGUUCUCCAGGUGUGCGUCUGAUUGCCAAAACUUGAACUAUCUUCCUUUGAAACUUGAACUGCUUUCCCUUGAAACUCAAACUGUUUCCUCUGUUCUAUAGGUGGGUGCCUGAUUGCCGAACUUGAACGUUUUUCCUUCGAAACUGCUUUUUCUUGAAAUUUAAAUUAUUUUCUCUUGUUCUCCAAGUGGACGCCUGAUUGCUGAACUUGAAUUGUCUUCCUUCGAAACUGUUUUUCCUUGAAACUUGAACUAUCUUUCCUUGUUAUCCAAGUGGAUGCCUGAUUGCUAAACUUGAAAUGUUUGUCUUUGAAACAGCUUUCCCUUGAAACUUGAAAUGUCUUUCCUUAUUCUCCAUGUAGGUGCCUGAUUGCUGAACUUGAACUAUCUUCCUUCGAAACUGCUUUCCCUUUAAACUUGAACUGUCUUUCUUCGAAACUAUUUUUCCUUGAAACUUGAAUUGUCUUCCCUUGUUCUCCGGGUGGGCGCCUAAUUUCUGAACUUGAAUUGUCUUCCUUCGAAAAUGAUUUCCCUUGAAACUUGAACUGUCUUCCAUUGUUCUCCAGGUGGGUGCCUGAUUGCUGAACUUGAACUGUCUUCCUUUGAAACGGUUUCCCUUGAAACUUGAAUUGUCUUCCAUUGCUCCCCGUAUGGGCGCCUGAUUGCUGAACUUGACCCGUCUUCUCUUAUUAUUUGAAACCGUUUCCCUUGAAACUUGAACUGUCUUCCCUUAUUGUUGGCCCAAGAACAUGUGUAGUUGUGAAGAAUGACAAAUGAAUUCAGUCAUGGACCAUGUCCAUCAUGUGAAGCACAGUGUUUGUGUAUCUAUACAUGAGAGAUGCACGUGAAGGAGAUAAGUUCCAUUAAUCAAGCAACAAUAUCUCCAGAAUUGAUCAAAAAUGUUGCAUAUGGGAUAAGGAAAGAAAGUCUCCUUGUGAAAAGAGAACACAAUCCGAAUACAAGAUAGGGUUGGAGUUUGUGUUGUUCGAGGACUCAACUUUGAUGGAAGAUCAGCAAUUGAGUCUCAAUCAACUCUAAUCACUAACUCAUUAAAUGACAGUGAUCGUUCUCUUUUACAGACAUUGCACAAAUGCAGAAGUAAAACUAAAUUGAGAGCAAAAAGUGAGGCAAUUUUGCAAGCAAUUUAUGUGAGAUUUGAGUGUGCAUUCCUGCAGCUACUUGUACAAAAUAGAAGAACCAAUUCCUUUGUGCCUUUCUUUUAUUCUAGUUCAAUUGUAGUAUGUGAUUUAAACUUGUACCAUUUCAGCUUUCAUAGAAGCAAUUGUAUUAGGUAUGUUGAGUACUCAAGUUAGAGUUAACUUGAAGUUAUCGCAACAGUUGAGAAUGGUUGCCACAACGGGAUUAGAGGUAAUCCUUAGGUCUACAAAGAAUUUUUUAAAUGUUAUUUUGGCUUAGUGAUUUUAGUGGAAAAUUCAUACUGAGUAGUAGGUCGUGGUUUUUUCACCUUUUGAGCCGGGUGUUUUCCACGUAAAAAUCUUUGUGUUCUUUAUUUUAUGUACUUAUUAUUCCGCAAACAGUAGUGUUAGUAUACCUAGAAGAACUAGGUUCUUCUAGAGCAAAAAAUUGGUUACCACAAAAAUCACCCCCCCUCUUGUAUGGUAUUGACGUUUAAAACAUCAAUUGGUAUUAGAGCGAGUUAUUCUUAAAGAGGCUAACACCUUAGGAAAAGUUCAACAUGAGUGCACUAUGUGGUAAUUGGGUAGGGAAAUCCACUGUUAGGCCUCCACUCUUCAAUGGACAGUACUAUUCUUGGUGGAAGAACAGGAUGAGAGAUCAUAUCAUUGGAGAGGAUUAUGAACUCUGGGACAUAGUCAUUGAUGGUCCCUUGGCAACAACAAAGACGAAUGAGAAGACAGGGGCUAACUGCACUGUUGAAGACCUAAAGAAGUGGGAGAAAAAUGCUAAGGCCAUGAAAUGGCUUGUGUGUGGACUAGGUCCGAGUGAGUACAGUAUGAUCCAAAGUUGUGCCACUGCUAAGGAAAUCUAACACCUUAGGAAAAGAUCAAUAUGAGUGCACCACCUGGGAACUGAGAAGGGCAAUCCACUGCUAGGCCUCCACUCUUCAAUGGCCAGUACUAUCUUGGUGGAAGAACAAGAUGAGAAAUCAUAUCAUUGGAGAGGACUAUGAACUCUGGGACAUAGCCAUUGAUGGCCCCUUGGCAACUACAAAGAAGAAUGAGGAAAGAGUGGAUGUGCCAAAGACAAGAGUUGACUGCACUGCUGAAGAUUUGAAGAAAUGAGAGAAAAAUGCCAAGACAAAGAAAUGUCUUGUGUGUGGACUAGGUCCAGAUGAGUACAUCAGGAUCCAAAGUUGUACCACUACUAAGGAAAUCUGGGACACUUUGCAAGUGACUCAUGGAGGAACACCCCAAUUGAAGAGGUCCAAAGGAACACUGCUUUAUUCUCAAUAUGAGAAUUUUACUAUGAAGGAAGGAGAAACUAUCCAAUAGAUUAUACUAGGUUCACUACACUCACAAAUGAACUUGAGUCUCUUGGAAGGAGAAGAAGACAAGGUUGAGAAAAUCUUGACAAGGGUUCUACCAGUCUCAUGGGAAAGCAAAAUCACUACUAUUCAGGAAUCUAAGAAUAUUGCUACCCUCAAGCUGGAUGAACUAAUUGGAAAUCUUAUUGCCUAUGAACUGAGAAGGCAAACCAUGAGGAUGGACACACCUAAGAAGGAAAGAAGUCUGGCUCUUAGAAUUGCUGAAGGUUCAGAUUUGGAGGAUGAUGAAAUGGCUAUGAUAACAAGGGAUUUCAAAAAGUACCUGAUGAGAGGAAAUGUUGUGAGCACGUGAUUUUUGCCUCACUUGACAUGUUCCUAUAAAAUUCAUUAAAUUAGGAUUUUUCUAUUAUUAUUUAAAUUUUUAGGAAUUAACUGUGUGAUUUUUGUUUUUAUUUUCAUUUUUCUUUUAUUAUUUGAAUUUUUAGGAAUUAAUUGUCUGACUUCGUGUUUACUUGCGUCCUUCUUUUAUUAUUCGAAUUUUUAGGAUUUAUUUGCGUGAUUUUGCGUUUGAUUGAAUUUUAGGAAUUAAUUGCAUAAUUUGCGUUUAUUUGCAUGUCGCACGUUUUAAUUUGCAUAAUUCAUAAAAAUAUAAAAUGGCUUGUUUGCAUAGGAUUUGAAUUUUACAUUUUUUUAGGUUAUUAAUUAGUUAAUAUUGAAAAUGGAGAAAACAUUAGUUAAUUUUCUUUGAAAUUUAGGAUUUAGGAGUUUAUUUAGUUUAUUUCAUGAUAAAAUGCAUUUUGGCAAUUUUAUUUUUGUUAUUAUAAAAUCUGAAAUAAUAAAAUAAAAUAAAAUAUAAAAAAACAAAUAUAUAUAUAUAUAUACAAAGAAAAUCAUGGAUUGUAUACAAAUAUGGGUCUUUGAGAGACCAAAUCUGGCAAAACAAACCCUGACCCAUCAAAUGGACCCAAACCCAACACCCUUCCCCGUCCAAAAAGCCCUAGAAGGAAACAACGUCGUUUUGCAUCAAGGCAUCUAAGUCGUUGAUCAAUCUUGAUCAAACGGUCAAGAUGCAAGGGUUGAUUACCCUAUUUAAAUGUCGGACAACCCCCUCCCCCUACUAUUAGAACCUCGUACCUUAUUCAAAAAUGCCCUAAUUGCCGGUGUAACACCUCCCAACCCCCGCCGAGUCACCACUGCCCGCCGCCGGCCGGAACUCGCCGCCGCCGGCAGCGUAGCCCCAAAUCCGCCCAAAAUUACACUUCAGAUUUCCCGUCUUCUCCUAUUUCCAACCCCCCUAAAACCACCCCUCAAAACAUAGCCAAACGCGUCGAAUAUCCCUUUAAAGGAGCGGUGGCUCCGCCGUCCACAACGGCUUCGGCUCCAAUGGAAUCCAAAUUCAUAACCCACACUCCCAUUGCCCUCCUCUACCCAAAAACAAGUCCAACUCCAUUCAAACAACUCCCAAACUCGUCGAAUUUCAAAUCUAAGUUUGACCUAAAUCUGGAAACAAGUUUUUCAAGGCCGCUUGAAUUUUACAAUGGAGUUGCAUGCUUGUAUUGAUCAAAACAAGCAUAUAACUCCGUUUGGAGAUUCAAAAUGAAGAUCCAAUCAGUAAGUUCCUCAUUUGUUGGUAAUUUGCCUUGUGUUAGUCGUUUGUUAAUGGAAAAUGUUGAUUAAAUCCAUCCAAACUUGGUUUUGUUUGGUCACCCUUUCCGAUUAAUACAAUACUCUAGUUAUUCUAACUAAAAUCCAUCCCUACUCCUAUUUGUACAUAUUUCAUUUGGUCGCAUUAGUUUUAGGUUUUUAAUAAGAUUAGUUACAAUGCUUGAUUUUGUGACUUGCCAGUGUUAAUUGAUUAUUUGAGUCAGAUUACAAAAUAAUAUAGCUUUGCAUAGUUCUCUUUAAUAUAUUAAUUUUAGCUCUUUUUUUUACUUACUUGAAUCCAUGUUAGCUUAUAGCAGUAAUUAGUUGAUUGGUCAAUAAGUCUCAGAUUUUCAAUUUAUUUUUUGAUUAAUGGUUCAAAUAUAAUUAGGUAUUCGUUAUAGUUGUUAGUUAGUAAUAUGUAAUUACAAGAUUUAGCUAGGUAAAGUAGUGAUUCUGAUACACUAAGAGGGUAAUAUAGGGUUUUAACUUAGUGUUGGUAGUUAGGAUUAAAAUAAGGGUAGUAUAGGUAUCCUAUAAAUACGAUACAUUGCUAGAAUCUUUUAGACCCUUCGAGAAGGGGAUUUUAAUUUAAAAAUCAGUAGUUUAGUGUAGUAACUUGGGAAACAAAUGAAGGACCAAGUAGUUAAAAUCUGAAAAUCAAAAGAGGAACUAGUAGUUAAAAUGAAAUAAAAGGGUUGCCCUAGAGUUUGGCUAUAAAAGGGGCCCCAAUUCAUUCAAAAAAAGAGGUUAGACAGUCUGAAAAAAUAUUCUAAAAAAUUCCAGAUAUUUUGGAGUCUAAAAAAAAGCUCUGAAAUUUCAAACAAUAAUAAAAAAAAUCCUUCAUGCAACUAUAAUCUAAUUCAAGGCAAAAAAUCAACAAUGUCAGUCUAGUUUGAAUUUUUGAGAGUUGUUCCUUCAAAAACCUGGGCAUUUAGGACUCUAAAAUCAGCAGAAAAUCAACAAAUAAUGUUCCAUUAAAUUUCCAGCUAGGCUCGGGGUUAAUUUGAUCUUGUUUCUGGGGUUUUGCAUCAAGACUUAGGUUUGGUUAUUUCUAGAACUCCUGGGUGCAUUUUCAAAGGAUUUGAGGUCAUUUUAAGAGCUGUGUGUGUCCUAUUCUGUUUGUAUCUGGUUAUUAUUGUUGUGUUGCUCACAAAUUUGGUUGUUGAUCUCUAAUAUUGUUGUUGACUCCUUACCUCUUUUGUAUUUUGAUUACCAGGUAUUUCUUUCUCCCAAGGGAAGUGUUUUUAAGUCUAGUGAAUGUGAAAUCUAAAGAGAUUUGAAGUCAAAGGCCAUUUUUGCCUCUUGUGAUUUUAUCAACAUUAUUUGUGG